GCGAGUUGGUGAAAAAGUGGGGCGAUUAGGUGUGGGGCGACUUGCCAGUGGGGCGACUUGUCCUGCUUCCGUGCAAGAGAUAUGACUCUCUCUUAACACGGGUCAGCCAAUUUUCGUCCCCUUCCAACGGACUAUCAUCGUUACUUUAGUUUAUUGCUUUUGGUUGGUUUUUUUCUGUCGGGCAAGAAUGUAAAAAAUACAAAAUCAAAUUUACAGAACCAAAAUCUUACAUCAUCCAGUGAAAAGGUACUUUACACAGUAGAAUAAAAUGCUUCAUUGAGCGCUUAUCAAACCCUGACAAUUGGGGCAAUAUUGGACACAAUAUUCCAGCUUGAUACUGUCUGAAUUGGGAUUGUGAUUAAAUUUGUUGACAUAAUUAUGAUAUAGCUUUCAGGGCCUUUUGAAGCUACAUGUAACUAUGCUGAAUGGGCUUUGGCUCACUGUUGAAGGCUGUACAGUGACCUUUAGUUGUAAAAACUGUCUUGUGAACAGUUGUCUCAUUGGCAAUCAUACCACAUCUUCUUUUUUAUAUUCUGUACAUGUACAUUUUAAAUUUAUUCUGUACUAUGCACCAAAUACUCAGACUAUUGCCCUGAUCUUUUUUAUGGAACUCUGGUUGUGGCAAACCAACAUUUUUUUCAAUGUGGCCCCACAUCAAGGAUAUGAUAUAGACCCAGAAAGAAGUCUGUAACAUGUAUAAAUUUUGAGCAAUAACUAUUAAGAAGUCAUAUUUUUUAUUGAUUUAAUAAAAUCUACCAACCCAACACGCAUCGUUUUAUAAGUUGUAUUUCGUCACAUUUCAUUAUCUUAUGACACAAAAAAAAUACAUUGCAUCCUGGACUCAUCAAAAUCUUUUGGGACUCACCAUUUCUAAAAGUGAUGAGUCCCAGGACUCACCAUGAAAAAUUCCUAGUGAGAACCCUGACUCUUAUAACAAAACCUUUAACAUCAUGUGCCGCAAUGUGGAUAUAUCCAAAAUCAGUGAAAAUUUGGUGUCAGAAUGAGGCCACACUUAGAAAUAUUUUGGUUUGCCAAAACCCUUAGUACCCAAUCUAUGCAUCGAGAAAGUGGGUAUAUUUGUUGCUACAAUGUAGGUAGGCUAUUUCUUUUCUUUUUCUUUUGGCUAUGAGAAAUUUAAGUAUCAAUGUUUAUAAGUCUUCAUGUCUAUCUGAAUAAAAAUAAAUAUUUUCACAUUAGGACAAUAAAAGAUUUUUAAGUAGGUAGUAUUUUCAAGGAAGGUACAUGUAGCAUUAGGGC
rnacentral:lncRNA from 1 species